CUUACCGUGAGUCUCGUUUAUGUGACAGCAUGCACACGUCUUUCUUGUUCAACGUGGUACCUGAGGCAGGGCCUUCCACGGUCAGACCAGACAUGGAGCUGACGUCUCUACCAACUCCAUGGGACUGAACAAGAUGAGGACCGGGCUGUUGUAAGGAAGACCAAGCUGGUACAUACUGCAGGAAGGUCUCGGACAUGAGGCUUCUGCUUGAGCGUUUGUAUGAUCCUAUUCUAUGAAGCUGCUCUUUUCAGCGUGGUGCUGAAUUAUAAAUGAACAGCUGGAUCCUGGGAUUCUUCUUCUAGUUAGAAAAUAAAAUUAACCUGAUCGUGGGACAGUUUUCUAAUGCAGUAAGUCAAUGAAUUCUUUAUAAGGAAAUACAUUACUUGGGGGAAAAGAGCCUAACCACUCAGAGCUUGCAGUUUUACUGUUCAGCAAAGAGUGAAGAAUACAAGGUGCAAAAACAGACCACACCACUACAGAGCGGCUAGCUGGAUACCAUGUCGGUAAUUGUAUGGAUACACAAUUCACAGUGUGUUGCAUGAACAAAUAUUUAAGCAACAAAAAAGGCGACUCGUAUGCUUUGGCUUGAUUUCAGCAUACAUGUGCAGUACGUUUGCCUAUUGACGCAGGUAUGGGACAACACAUGUAAGAUGAGACAUCAUCUUUAGCUCUCCUCACAAUGUGAGUCUGACUGCUUAAGAACUGUGGUCCUUGUCUGAGAUUAAAUAAUGUACACAAACGCUGCAAUCUCAUCCCAGGAACAAAUCAUAAAUAAUUACUGAGCAUUUUGUUUCAUAGAUGACGCAAGCCCUGUCUCAGGGGCUUGCAGUCUACUCAAUAAUGGGCUAAACUGAUUGAAAAGAAUACACGAGGCAGAAAUUAGAAGGGAUCUAGCACUGUUCAAUAGUAAAGGCUCAAGAGAAGACAUUUGAACAAAGACAAAUGGGAGACACAAUGUUGAAAUUCAAAGUCAAGAGGACACAAACAUGAAAAAGCCAUCUCAGUUUUGCUUUCAUACAGCACACAGCCCCAAAACCUACUGGAGGUUGUGUAUGUCACCGGAGUCGUGGAUUUUAAAUUCAAACUGAUGCACAUCCAGGUAGGCCCUGCUUACCUAAAAGAUCCUGUUGUGCUUUGCGGUUGUAGGGAAGCACAGAGAUGUACCAUGUUAAAGUAAAUUCACAGCCACAUGAGAUGGAAGGCCCAGGCCUCAGAAGGGUGCAUGGAUCAUCCCCUUGCACUGGGAGAUCUCCAGCACCCAGCCAUGCUCAUCUCUGCAGCCUGUCCCAUGAGUUAGGGCGGGGUGUUUGUGCUGGCCUUGUUCCUCCUGCUUUACAUCUCCAUGCCCGCAGACCACAGCAACAAAAAUAGCUCUCAGCCUUCCUCCAAGGUCCUGUGCAACAGGGACAGUUCUUCAGCUUCUUCCUUGUAUUAUAGGCAUGGGUUAGGUUGAUUUAGCCUUUUUUUCUUUCUUUCUUUUUUUUUUUUUUUUGUAAAUAAGGCACCAGUAUCUGCCAGCAACAUUCCUCUCAUUUUAUCUGAUCUCAUAAGAAUUAUUUUUAGUAAGAACUAGUUUGCCCUGAAAGAAAGCUAUUCUCUAAAAAAAGCUUUGUAUAGUUAAGACAUAUGGGACAGAAGGAAGCCUGCAUCUUGCAUUACAUUUUUUUUCCAGUCACCAGAAAAACCCUGAAAUUGCCCUUUUUAGCAAACACAAAAGAUAAAUGGAUUGGUUCUAAACUGAAAAUAAUAGAUGUGCCUUGUGCCAUUCUUGACAACCUUUUCUCCUUAGCUCACGGAACAGGAGCACAGCUCUUACCUUUUUUAUAACAAAGUGACACAGGUACAGCUCCGCUGAAGUAACAGCUGCAUAGCUGCAGCUGAAUGGGAGCUAUUUCUACCACUUCUGUUAUAAAAAUAAUUGAAAUAGUUUACAGCAGCAGUAAUACCAGCCAUUCCUCCUUUCUGACAAGCUUACAGGCACUAUAGAUGCUGCUUAGGGUCAUCAUACCCUGUAUUUUUGUACACAGAGUCAGUGAAUGGAAUGCAUGAUAUGCUUACUAAGCUACUUUGGAUAAACAUGGAAAAAAUCUAGUGGUGUAGUUGUCACAGACCAGAAUGAUUGCAUGUGCUGUGCAAUUUGAAGGGAGAUUCCUACCCGCUGUGUCAUUUACCUUUUAGACGUUGCUGUUGCCUGGUAUUUCAUAACUCUUAAUUCUUUAGAUGCUCCACUGAGACUGUUAUAUACAUAUAUGCAUAAAAAAAUGAGAGCUGUGCAUUCUUGCAUGACGUCAUGCUAUAGCCCACAAACAGCUCUAUUAAUCCUUACCAUGUUUGGGAACAAAGGGCAAGGGAUACUGAUGACGUAUGCUUUGAGUCACAAUCAUUUCCUUUUCACACUUGGAAAACAGAGCUCCUCUCCUUUACAUGCAUUUAAUGUACACAUGCAUAGCCUUGGGAUGUCACAACAGCUGGAAGAAAACACUCUUCUGUUUUGGACAUAAAUCAAAGACAGCCAUGGUCCUGUGCUAAAUGAUAGAUCAGUUGGUGAGGUGAAUUCAGCAAAAACUGCCAUGAGUUAAUUUUUAACUUGGUCUUCUAAGCCAUGACCCUCCAAGUCUUAAAGAUCUCUGAGUAGGUUGGGCUCUGCUAUGCAUGAAUUAAUUGCUCGCAUAAGUGAUACAACAGUAAAUGGAGUCCUGAGUCAUGAAAGCCUUUGGGAAAAUAAUUGUGUGCAUCUGCGCAACAUAUAUCACAGGGAGACCUUGCUGAUGGCUGCAUUCCCUGGCACAACUGGAAUGUACACACUAUACUUCAGUUCCUACUAAUUCAUUAAACCAGCAGGGAGAGAACGAUGGCAUUAAGCAUGAAACUGGCAUCCAAGAUACCACAGGGUCUGCUGCUCCCUCCCGCUUCCUAUGUGGGAUUCUGAAUGCCUCCUCCCACGUCCCAAGCACUGCUGCUCUGUGCCUUGUGGUAACCUCACCCUCCCAGAAAGGCUGAGAGAGGGCAAAUGCAUUUAAGGUGAACUGUGGUCUUUGGCUGAAAUUUACAAAGUAAGUGUACAUUGUGACGUCAUGGAUCAUGAACAUUAGGCUUUCUCUAGCUGAGGUUUGUCGUUUUCCAUAUAAGUCACUGUUUUCAGCUACUUAGAACAUUGGCAGGUAUUAAUUGUAAUAUUAUUGUAGUUCAGGAUAUCAACCUCAUUUCAAUAUUUUUGGAAAAUUCUAGCCAAAGUAACCCACUCAGGAGAAAAAGACCAUUUUGCCUUUAAAAAGUUAACAUAUACAUAUAUAUAUAUAAGAAAUCUUAGCAUAUCCUUAAUCUAAAGUAUGAAGGGAUCACAAAUGCUGACAUCAAGGAGGUACCUUUUGCUGUCCAUACAAUGCGCCUCUCAAUUUGGCCAAACCUCUGAAAAUCAUUUUGCAUUUGUUUAGUCAAGAACGGACAGGCUCAGAUUAAACUCGUGUUAUGUGACAAAGAGCUGGGUAGGAAUUGAUGUUGACCUUGCAACUAUUGCUCAUCUGCUUUGACCACUUGCAUUUUAAUACGGUCUUUAUUUCUGCCACUUCAUGCAGAGGUUCCUCCAAGUCAUCUAGUGCAUAGGAAUUACUUCAACCUUUUAUUCUUAGCGUCAGUAAGCAUUCAUGUGGUGGUAGUCCCGAAGUCGGGGGGUGUUGUGUAAGUACAGAAGAGAGCCAAUCUAUUCACUUACAACUCUGCAAAUCUAAAGAACCUAGACCGUUAAUUCAGUAGCUGGAACUUUUCUCUGCAGUGCUGGAAUUGAAUUGAGCCCCAAUCCCCAGCUUAUCUCACUUGUCUUCCUUCUUUGUUGUUUUUUUUCCUUCAAUCUUUAGGCUUUCGUUUCUUUUCUUUCAUUUAGUUUCGCACUUUUCAGUAAGAAAGAGAGCAUUCUGUACUUCUCACCGUUCCCCAUGCCUGUUUUCCCUUCCACUUCUACUUCUGUGCUUUUUUCCCACAAUUAGCUCUUUUUUUUUCCUUUUCCAUUUUCAUUUUUAUUUUCCUCUUCUGUCAUGAGGAAUGAAUCUUGGAUCUCACAUUAUCUUUGAAAUUCUUUGAACCCAUAUUACGUAUUCAGACCACCUCUAUAGUCACAAGAGCUCAAACUUGAUUUCUUUUAAAGAAAUUUUGAUAAAAACCGUUUGUGGGCAGCCUUCCAACUAUGACAUCAGUCUUAUGACAUUUACCCGAGUUUGCUGACAUCCUGAAAGAAUGAUCUCAAGAGCUGAACUCUCCUGCCUGAGAGCGCCAGCAAUGGUACAAUGUAGUCAGUAAUUAGCGAGUCAACAGCUGAUUAUCUGGGGGUUCAAAUGGUGGAGGGGGAGAGGAUGAAGCCCACCAAGAAGCAAGAUCUGGAAAUGGAUGAAAGAAGGAUGUGAAUGAGAGGAUGACGGAAAAGCUGAGGAAAAAUGGAGGAGGAAGAAGAGGAACCCAAGAGCCCAGAGGCGGGAGUAGCAGUAGCCUAGAGGGAUUUUCUUUGUGUGAUGGAGAAGAAGAAAAAAAGUACUGAUUAAAUAUUAGUUACAACGUAAUUUUAAUCCACAAACAAAGCUCCUGGUAAUAUCAGUAUGAAAUCCAGUGAUAACUGCAGAGAUUACAACGAAACAUGAUAGCCUGCCUUCUUUUCCUGUCAGCUCUGCUCUAUCAUCUUCCUGAUCCAUUCCUAUUUUCUCU